GGGUGCAAGUUCAAUGCUAGAUUUACCUCUUCGGUUCAUAAUUAAAAAAGCCAUUUUUUCUAUCUCUUCAGAUUUGCCCUAUGGCUGCAGUUGGAUUUGGGUGAUCCUCGCUUCCUUUGAAUAAGGAAAAGUCAAUUUUUCUUGAGGAUGAGGAGGAUUAUCAUACUCUACUCAAUCUUAAAGUACCAGAGCUGAAAGAAAUGGUGACUGAGCAAACUCUUUAUGACAUUGAC
rnacentral:lncRNA from 1 species